rnacentral:rRNA from 1 species
UUCGACGCAAAGCGAAAACCUACACCAAGGUUUGACAUACCAAUCGUAUCCCUAAGAAACUAGGGAGUCAGUUCGGCUGGAUUGGAUACAGGUGUUGUAUGGCUGUCGUCAGCUCGUGUCGUGAGAUGUCGGGUUAAGUCCUUUAACGAGCGCAACCCUCAUUGCAUGUUAAUUUUUCAUGCGAGACUGCCCUGGUUAACAGGGAGGAAGGUGGGGAUGACGUCAAGUCAGCAUGGCCCUUACACCUUGGGCUACACACGUGUUACAAUGGCCGGUACAAUAAGUCGCAAUACCGUAAGGUGGAGCUAAUCUAUGAAAACCGGUCCCAGUUCGGAUUGGGGGCUGAAACUCGCCCCCAUGAAGUCGGAAUCGCUAGUAACCGUGAAUCAGCACGUCACGGUGAAUACGUUCCCGGGUCUU